AUGAACGCUGGCGGCGUGCCUAAUACAUGCCAGUCGAGCGAACGGACGAGAAGCUUGCUUCUCUGAUGUUAGCGGCGGACGGGUGAGUAACACGUGGAUAACCUACCUAUAAGACUGGGAUAACUUCGGGAAACCGGAGCUAAUACCGGAUAAUAUUUUGAACCGCAUGGUUCAAAAGUAAAAGACGGUCUUGCUGUCACUUAUAGAUGGAUCCGCGCUGCAUUAGCUAGUUGGUAAGGUAACGGCUUACCAAGGCAACGAUGCAUAGCCGACCUGAGAGGGUGAUCGGCCACACUGGAACUGAGACACGGUCCAGACUCCUACGGGAGGCAGCAGUAGGGAAUCUUCCGCAAUGGGCGAAAGCCUGACGGAGCAACGCCGCGUGAGUGAUGAAGGUCUUCGGAUCGUAAAACUCUGUUAUUAGGGAAGAACACAUGUGUAAGUAACUGUGCACAUCUUGACGGUACCUAAUCAGAAAGCCACGGCUAACUACGUG
rnacentral:rRNA from 1 species